rnacentral:tRNA from 1 species
CAGGGUGUAGUUCAGUUGGUAGAACGCUUCGUUCGGGACGAAGAGGUCGCGAGUUCAAAUCCCGCCACCCUGA